rnacentral:rRNA from 1 species
GGGCGUAAGAGCUCGUAGGCGGUCUGUCGCGUCGGAUGUGAAAGCCCGGGGCUUAACCCCGGGUCUGCAUUCGAUACGGGCAGACUAGAGUGUGGUAGGGGAGAUCGGAAUUCCUGGUGUAGCGGUGAAAUGCGCAGAUAUCAGGAGGAACACCGGUGGCGAAGGCGGAUCUCUGGGCCAUUACUGACGCUGAGGAGCGAAAGCGUGGGGAGCGAACAGGAUUAGAUACCCUGGUAGUCCACGCCGUAAACGGUGGGAACUAGGUGUUGGCGACAUUCCACGUCGUCGGUGCCGCAACUAACGCAUUAAGUUCCCCGCCUGGAGAGUACGGCCGCGAGGGUGGAACUAAAACGAAUUGACGGUAGCCCUCUUUAGCAGCGGAACAUGUGAAUUAGAUCGACCCAGCGGAAAAAACCCUAGC